AUCUAUGGCCAUGAUACCCUGAACAAGCCUGAUUCAGUCUGAUCUCAGAAGCUAAGCAGGGUCGGGUCUGGUUAGUACUUGGAUGGGAGACCACCUAGGAAGACCAGGUGCUGUAGGUG
rnacentral:rRNA from 1 species